GACGAACGCUGGCGGCGUGCCUAAUACAUGCAAGUAGAACGCAGUUGCGAACGGGUGAGUACCGCGUAGGUAACUUCCUCAUAGCGGGGGAUAACUAUUGGAAACGCUUGCUAAUACCGCAUACUUUGAGUUGCACUUGCGUUGUAUCAGCUAGUUGGUGAGGUAAAUGCUCACCAAGGCGACGAUACAUAGCCGACCUGAGAGGGUGAUCGGGCAAACUGGGACUGUGUAAAGGCCCAAGAUCCGUCGGGAGGCAAGAGUAGGGAAUCUGCGGGAAUGGGAGGAAGGCUGGCCGAGCAACGCCGCGUGAGUGAAGAAGGUUUUCGGGACGUAAAGCUCUGUUUGUAGGGGAGCGGUAUCUAACCAGAAAGGGACGGCUAACUACGUGCCAGCAGCCGCGGUAAUAC
rnacentral:rRNA from 1 species